GGGAUGGGGGUGGGGGAAGCUGCCUAGGACAUAUGAGCUACAGGAAAAAACAGGGACCUUCUUUUGCCCCAGGGAGCCCUGGGAUGACUGAUCUCUUGACCCCUGACAUAGGUCAUAAUGAGAAAUAGACGUGGUCACCAAGGGGUGGGGAUCUGGAGCUAUGGAGCUAGUAUUUUGAGAAGCCUGUGGAAAGCAGGGAGACUGGAUGGAGAGGAGAGAGGGGAGCACAAUAUGGCCAGUGGAGAACAGCCCUCAUUUAAACCAGUGUGAAGAUUCUCUACUGAGACAGCCAGCUUUGGAAAUCCCUCCAUUGCUGCUCUCAUCACCUCCUCACCCCCAAGAAGUUUUUCCAACCGUUCCACCACUGCUCUUCUUCUGGGAAACCCUCACCUUGCAGCAUUUGCAGUUCUUCACACUGGAAUAACAGACUUGAACGACGCACGAGAAGAUGGGACUCUGUGGUUAACAUUCAUGGGCUGCCUGGAAAAGUGUGCUAAUGUGGACAAAAUAAAAUGGAGUAUCUACUUGGUGAAGUUCAGAUGCUGCAGAGGCUAUGACUUAUGCAAUGAAUCUCUAUA